UUUAUUUCUUUGUUAUUAUUGUCUUGCGCCUUGGAAAAAGAUUUUCUAAAGGCCCUGUUUUGAAGGACAUACCACAUGAAGAGUAAUGACUGUGCUGCUGUAGUUUGUGAGCAGAUUGACUUGCUGUUCUUCUUUCUUUUUCAUUCUUUUUUGGUUUUGAUUUGCUGAGAAACUGUUUAAAGGAGAAAAACCCAGUACCUCUUUCCCCCCGCUCUUCUCUUACCCCCCAAAUCCCAACUGCAGGAAUGUUUGCUUUUUUUGGCAGCACUAAUAUUUAUUCCUUACUUAAUAGGAAUUCUCCCCUGUGUUAAGAAUGUUGCUUUUAGAGCUUGAAGAUCUAAACAUAAAGUAUUUUAUCACUAUUCUGAUUUUCUCCCCUCUUUAUACAAUUUUGGAGCAGUUAGGAAAAGGCAAAUAUUAAAACAAAAAUUACCGUCUUAGAGUGUCUGUGAAAAUUUAUGUACUAAAAAGCAGCUGUAAAAUGUUUAAUGUUUAAAUUAAUGUUUUAUGUUUACAAUAAAAACUCUUCAGCCAUGAAGGGCUUUUAAAAGCUACAUGCUAAAUACAAGCAAAACCAAAGCAAACAACAACCCUGUGAAGCCCAGUUUCAACACAUGAAAUGCCAAGUAAGACUUUUGUGUGGACUUUAUAAGUUUUCAUGUGUUGCUCUACUGAAAAAAAAACACCUACAAAUGUCAAAGCUACAAAAGGAGCUGGUUAGAAUAGGAAGGCAAAACACUUAAUUUCUUAAUAAUAGGUAUUUUUGCAAUUCUGAGCGUAUUUGUGAUGGUCUGGUUUACUUUUUUAUUUGAAUUGUGUUAUAAAUAAAACAGCUUCUCUCCUCCCCCUUUUCUGCCAGCUGUAAGCACCCUAUCCUCCAAUAAAGGUUUAAACAAAUGAAUAGAUUUAAAAGAGACCAUUAUGCACUAGCUAGCGCAGACUGAGGAGAAGAAAUGUUGCCAAAUCAUACUCCUUUUAAAAUCAAUAGGAAUUCUUGCUAUUGGAUUCAAUGGGAGUAUAAUUAGGUUCUAAACGCACACAUUUUCUCGACAAUGUGGGUUUCUUUACCUUUCUUAUUCUUGUUUCCCUCUCAGAUAUGAAGAAGUCUCACUGUUCCAACGUGUUCUCAGUUUGAACAGCGUUUUAGCAAUUUCUCCCCUAAAAUACUUGUGGCACAGGCUAGAGAAGGCAAACUCUUGGCACAAGUAACCUCCAUUACCUACACAGAAAUUCAGCUGUAAGUUAACACCAGCAAGAGCAUAGCCCAUUCCCCAGCAGACACUUAAAGCCUUGAUAUCCUAUGUUCCCUGUCCACCCUCCCGCUUCUGAGCAUCACUUUCCUAGUGAUCUGGUCAGAACAAUGCCACAUACUGAAUCAUCACCAACAUCCUUUCCCUUUGCAGCUCAGUUUUGUUUUGCAGGUCUCAUUGUAGGGAUACUGACUAAGCCCAAAUAUAUUUAGGUUGAAUCAAAUAUAAAUCUGUCCCACAAUUUGAAAUGAUUUUGGAAACCCCUAUCAAAGUAGGUACACGAAGAUGAUAUAAAUAACUUCCCCUUGGAAGGUCUACAUAAGGAGGACAUGGCAUUUACCACAUCUGCAUGUUGGACUUCAAAUCAGCCACCAGGGAGUCUUGAGUCCACUCCCAUUAAUCUCUCAACGACUCCCUUUUAUAAACAGUGCAUUGAACAACAGCAAAAAUAUAUAAAGCCACACUAUUUCACAAAGCUUGAGAAUUAAGAGUUCUCUUUUUCAUUUUUUUUCCACACACAAAUCCUACGCAAAUAGUUUUAUCCACAGCACUACCUUAAUAAAUUAAUGUCAGCCUUUACUUUGUUCCAAAUAAAGGGAUGCAAGAGCACUUUUUUAACUGUUUCUUGGUUAGAGGUAGCUAAUAAAAUUACUUCAAAACAUUUAAAAUGGUGAGUAUUCUUCUUUCAACUGCUCUAGAAACCAGAAAAAA
ensembl:lncRNA